GGAUUGUGGCUCAGUGGUAGAGUGCUCAUCUAGCAUGCACGAGGUACUGGGUUCGAUCCUCAGCACCA
rnacentral:tRNA from 1 species